CUGAGUCCAAACAGGAGCCUUUAGGAUCAUCAGAUGCAGGAGCAGCAGUCGAAUAGCUUGUGCUCUGGAAAUAGCUCAGGCUCAUUAAGCCAUUUUCUGACUCUGGAGUCUUAGCACACUUGGAGGCAUAUACAACUCUCACCGACUUUCCUGGGAUUGAGCACCGCAAAACAAGGCUGGUGUAUGGCCUGAAGUGUGCAGUCCUUAUCUUUUCCCAUUCUCCUUUCUGGCUGUUGGAGGUCACAUAGUGUGUGAGAAGCUGGAAACCACAGGGGGAGAAUAAGGCAGCUCUGGUGCUUACUAAAGCAGAUUCCAAACCAACACCUGGCAUAUGAAGGCUCCCAUGAGCCAGUGACCUCUUUACCACAGUAUUACUGCUUUCCAGAAGGAAACCACACUCACCGUAAACACCCUCUCUGGCUCCCCCUUGGCCCGCAUGUUGGUAUCAUGAACUUGCUUGAGAAUCAUCCAGGCUUCAUCAUGUUUACCUAUCUGGAAACACCAAAGGAAGAACAUCUCAAGUCAGCCAUUAAAUACUAUGGUCUCCAGUCAUGUGGUUUUAAAAAUGACACAGGGAACCAGCUGUGGAGGCCCAGGUGUAACGGAGCAGUGCCGUGCCGCAUCGUGUGUUGAGGAGGGAGAAGCAGAGGGCAGAAGGCUGAACCAUCAAGGUUUAUAUUUGCUGACUGUGCAGUAGUUUUGUGGUAGAAGAAGGAAACCACUCCAUAAUUAUUAUUUGGGAGGUGGGAGUUAGGCAAAGUGUUGUCUCCAGGCUAAGCAGAGGGUAUGUCUGGAGACAUGGUUCUCUUCCCAGCUCUGCUAAUAACUUGCUGUGUAACCUUGGGCAAUUUGAUGUGCCUCAGUUGUUCCAUCUAUAA